CUACGGGAGGCUGCAGUGGGGAAUAUUGCACAAUGGAGGAAACUCUGAUGCAGCAACGCCGCGUGAAGGAUGACACUUUUCGGAGCGUAAACUCCUUUUAUAUAGGAAGAAGAUGACGGUACUAUAUGAAUAAGCGCCGGCUAACUCCGUGCCAGCAGCCGCGGGUAAUACGGAGGGCGCAAGCGUUACUCGGAAUCACUGGGCGUAAAGAGCGUGUAGGCGGAUUAAAAAGUCAGAAGUGAAAUCCUAUAGCUUAACUAUAGAACUGCUUCUGAAACUCUUAAUCUAGAAUAUGGGAGAGGUAGAUGGAAUUUCUGGUGUAGGGGUAAAAUCCGUAGAGAUCAGAAGGAAUACCGAUUGCGAAGGCGAUCUACUAGAACAUUAUUGACGCUGAGACGCGAAAGCGUGGGGAGCAAACAGGAUUAGAUACCCCAGUAGUC
rnacentral:rRNA from 1 species